UAAAGAUUUUUAUCGAUGUAAAAAGUUGUCGUUUAGGAUUAGGUAGUUGGGUAGUUUAAAGCUUACCAAGCCUUUAAUACUUAGUUGAUUUGAGAGAAUGAUCAGCCACAUCGAAACUGAAAUAGGGAUCGACCGUCGUUGAGAUGGCAGCAGUAGAGAAUAUUGCACAAUAAACGAAAGUUUGAUGCAGUGAUGUCGCCUGAGGGAAUUGUUUGCAGAUUUUUCUGUACGACGGUAGCUUGUAAACCUCGUCUUGAGUUGAUAUUAUGAAUUGCAAUUUAAGAUUAAGCCCCGACCAACUUCGUGCCAGCAGUCGCGGUAAUACGGAGGGGGCUAGUGCUAGAUAUAUUGAUUGGGCGUAAAGGGAGCGUAGAUGGCUAAUUAAGUUAUUUUCAAAAGUUAAUUGAAGAAUUCAAUUAAAUCGUUAAUAAUACUAAUUUGAUUCAGGGUUUAGUAGAGGUUAGCGGUAUUUUUAGUGAAGAGGUAAAAUUCUAUGAUACUAAAAGGACCACCAACGGCGAAGGCAGCUAACUGGGCUAAACUGACAUUGAGGCUCGAAAGCGUAGGGAUUCAAUCGGAUUUGAUACCCGAGUAGACUACGCUGUAAACUAUGAGUAUUCACAAUUGUGAUAAACAGUUGUUUAGCUAACGCGUUAAAUACUCCGCCUGGGGACUACGAUCGCAAGAUUAAAACUUAAAGUAAUAUGGUGUUUUUUAUAGAAGCGGUGGAUGAUGCGGCUUAAUUCGAUAUAACGCGAAAAACCUUACUAGUCUUAGGUACAGUGUUUAGGUGAGUAGAGAUGCUUACUUAGUUUUGAUUUAAAUUUUUUUUAAUCAAAAUAUACACUGAGCAGGUGUUGCAUGGUUGUCGUCAGCUCGUGCUGUGAGGUGUAUGAUUAAGUUCUAUAACGAGCGCAACUCACGUUUUCUUAGCGUUUUUUAAACUAAAGAAAAGAUUUGUAAAGAAAUUUUACAUGAAAGUGAAUGAUGUCAAAUCCGUACGGCCUUUAUAGACUAGGCUGCACGCGUCAUACAAUGGUAGGUACAAUGAGAAGCAAAAGUGCAAACUUUAGCAAAUCUUUAAAACUUAUCGUAGUUUGGAUUGUUUUCUGUAAUGAAAACAUGAAAUUGGAAUCGCUAGUAAUCGUAGAUCAGCAUGCUACGGUGAAUAUCUCUCUAAAGAAACUAAUUGCCGCCUGUCACGUUUUUCUAGUAGGUUGAAGCCGAAGUU
rnacentral:rRNA from 1 species